UCUCUCUCUCUCUCUCUCUCUCUCUCUCUCUCCUUUUUAUUUAAACAGUUCUGCUUUAAUUUGCUCUGUACUUUUGCUUUAAAACUUCUCUCUCUCUCUCUCUCUCUCUCUCUCUCUUUAAUUUGUUUUCUACUUCUUCUGCAAGGUAAUUUCUCUCACAGCUAUGCUCAUAUAUCAGGAAGAAGUGGCAGAUUUUUCAACAAGACAUAGUCAAAUGGCCUUCUUCAUAAAAAAAAUCAACAAGACAUAGUCGAAUGGCCUUCUUCAUAAAAAAAAUCAUACACAGAAGGAAUACCUCCUUAGUCCUCUCAUGACUCACUAAAUGACCACCAUGCAGAUCUAUCAUCCUAGCAACUGGCUGCAGCUUCUCUGCAAGUCUCUUGGCGUAGUAUAUUUGAGCAAUGAUAUCAUGCCUACAUUCAAAGAACCUCAAAUUAAUCUUAAGCAGUAUAACUGUUUGCAGGGAAUCUAUACUACCUGCCAUGUAUCACAGAUACAAGAAAUCCAGCAGAGCGGAUAACUUCAAUUUCCAUUUGUGUCAUCUUAUGUGUCCAACAAGCAUUGAUUUGACCUUCAAACCCAUAGUUAGACUGCAUCCCAGUUGAUGAUAUGCCUUUUACAUAUUCCUGCAAUAUAACCAGGGACAUCUUUAUGCAUAAUGCAAUACUAUGAAAUGCGUAACUAAACUACAAGUUGCAAUGUAAAGUAAUUAAUCAAGUAUCUCAUAUAACCA